CGGGCGGAAAGUUCGCUGAACCAGACCACAACAUUAAUGAAAAUUAUCUUACGCUGCACAGUACUCGCGUUUUUGAUUAAACUUGAGGUGGAGAUAAUGAUGUCAUGGUCCUGUUGUGGAGAUCCUGGUUGUAAGCACGGGAGAGGAGACACGUGCCGUUGCCUGAUAACCCCCUUCAGGAGACACGUGGAGCCAAAGACGUCGCUGGCCAUCACCUGGCAACCAAACUGAGGGAUGCCUUUUAUUCAGGAUGCCGAGGACUGUCGCAGAGCAGCAUUAUUAAAAAGAUCCAGGACUAUGUAUAGAUAAUGUGUAUCUUUUUCUCUUAGUCUGCUGUGUACUGUCUGUUGACCCUGAUGACACUGUCAACUCUGUGCUUACCACUUUUUCUAUAACAUGCUUGCUAGAUCAUCUGCGAUACACACUACUUCUGUUUAGUUAUAGAAAAUUAUUUGGGAAGUGAGUGCAGGUUGUAACAGAGUCAGUGAACCCCCAAGAUUUGAACCCAGGACCCAUACUCUGGUGUUUAAUCUGGUUUGUGCCGGUACAAAACAGCACCACAGGGUGUAUGUCACUCAAGGAAUUUCAGUUGGCAGGAUGUCCGUAUCUCCUCAGACAUCAGCAGUUGGUUGACAUGCGUUUCAGAAAAAUGUGUGCUCCUCCUCACUGCUCCCUCCUUACAUCUUACAUCUUACCCCAUACCUCCUUCUUUGUGCAAGAACUUUCAAUUCACAAUGGCAUUAGAUUACCCUGUAGUAGAAUGGUAGUCUACUACAUGUAUUCAUAAAAGAGGAUACAAAGCAGUUCUCUGACUGGAGUGCAGAACUGACAUAACUGUCAGCAAUCUUUGAAUGUGAGCCAACUCUUCUGCUCAGCAUUGUACACGUGCAUCACUGACAUAAUGCCCUGUUGUCAGACAGACACAAGGCAGAGAUCAGAACAGUGAUUUCUUAUCUUCAUACUCCUGUCUGUCCUACCAGAGCCUCUGCUGUUUCCGAUGUGAGACUAUAGCAGCUUGCUGGGGGGGGGGGGGGGGAAUGCUUGCACUCAGAAACAGGCCACAGCAUCUUCACACAAGCCUAGAAACUAAUAUGUCAGCCUGCCAUGGUCUUAUCCCUCCUCCUACUCUCACUCCCUCUGUCUUGUCCUCUCCUCUGCCUCCCUUUCCUCCUACCUCUAUCUGUAGAAUGUCCUUCACAAAAAGCCAAACAGAACCCCAGAGCAACAGGCAACAGCCUAUCAGUAAUUUCGUACGAUUCCAAAAGCUCAACCUGGUUUUGCUGCACUGGGAAUUAAUACUAUAUAAACUAUAAAUUAUUUAUAUAUAAAUACAUAUAAUAUAUGUUUAUAGUUGAUAUA